rnacentral:rRNA from 1 species
GACGAACGCUGGCGGCGUGCCUAAUACAUGCAAGUUGAGCGCUGAAGGUUGGUACUUGUACCGACUGGAUGAGCAGCGAACGGGUGAGUAACGCGUGGGGAAUCUGCCUUUGAGCGGGGGACAACAUUUGGAAACGAAUGCUAAUACCGCAUAAAAACUUUAAACACAAGUUUUAAGUUUGAAAGAUGCAAUUGCAUCACUCAAAGAUGAUCCCGCGUUGUAUUAGCUAGUUGGUGAGGUAAAGGCUCACCAAGGCGAUGAUACAUAGCCGACCUGAGAGGGUGAUCGGCCACAUUGAGACUGAGACACGGCCCAAACUCCUACGGGAGGCAGCAGUAGGGAAUCUUCAGCAAUGGACGAAAGUCUGACCGAGCAACGCCGCGUGAGUGAAGAAGGUUUUCGGAUCGUAAAACUCUGUUGGUAGAGAAGAACGUUGGUGAGAGUGGAAAGCUCAUCAAGUGACGGUAACUACCCAGAAAGGGACGGCUAACUACGUG